GAUUCUGGUUGAUCCUGCCGGACCUGACUGCUAUCGGAUUGGUACUAAGCCAUGCGAGUCGUUGUACAAUACAAGGCGGACUGCUCAGUAACACGUAGUUAACUUAACCUAUGGAUGGGAAUAACCUCGGGAAACUGAGAAUAAUACCCAAUGGGCCACAGUGCCUGGAAUGGCCUGUGGUUGAAAUGAUUUAUCGCCGUAGGAUAGGACUGCGGCCUAUCAGCUUGUUGGUGAGGUAAUGGCCCACCAAGGCUAUAACAGGUACGGGCUCUGAGAGGAGGGGCCCGGAGAUGGGUACUGAGACACGGACCCAGGCCCUAUGGGGCGCAGCAGGCGAGAAACCUUUGCAAUGUGCGAAAGCACGACAAGGUUAAUCCGAGUGUCUCCUGCUAAAGGAGUCUUUUGUCAGUUGUAGAAUCACUGGUGAAUAAGGGGUGGGCAAGUUCUGGUGUCAGCCGCCGCGGUAAAACCAGCACCUCGAGUGGUCAGGAGGUUUAUUGGGCCUAAAGCAUCCGUAGCCGGUUGCAUAAGNUUUCGGUUAAAUCUAUGCGCUUAACGUAUAGGCCGCCGAAAAUACUGUGCAGCUAGGGAGUGGCGGA
rnacentral:rRNA from 1 species